AUUGAACGCUGGCGGCAGGCCUAACACAUGCAAGUCGAGCGAGAGGCGGACGGGUGAGUACUGUCUGGGAAAAAGCCCCAUGGAGGGGGGGAACUACAGGAAACGGUAGCUAAGAACGCAUACACUAAGAGGGGCGCAGAGGGGAUUAGCUAGUAGGUGGGGGAACAGCUCACCGAGGCGACGAUCCCUAGCUGGUCUGAGAGGAUGACCAGCCACACUGGAACUGAGACACGGUCCAGACGCAUACGGGAGGCAGCAGUGGGGAAUAUUGCACAAUGGGCGCAAGCCUGAUGCAGCCAUGCCGCGUGUGUGAAGAAGGCCUUCGGGUUGUAAAGCACUUUCAGCGGGGAGGCGUUACCCGCAGAAGAAGCACCGGCUAACUCCGUGCCAGCAGCCGCGGUAAUAC
rnacentral:rRNA from 1 species